rnacentral:rRNA from 1 species
UACGUAGGGUGCGAGCGUGUCCGGAAUUAUUGGGCGUAAAGGGCUCGUAGGCGGUCUGUUGCGUCAGGAGUGAAAACUCGGGGCUUAACCCCGAGCCUGCUUCUGAUACGGGCAGACUAGAGGUAUGCAGGGGAGAACGGAAUUCCUGGUGUAGCGGUGAAAUGCGCAGAUAUCAGGAGGAACACCGGUGGCGAAGGCGGUUCUCUGGGCAUUACCUGACGCUGAGACGCGAAAGCGUGGGGAGCAAACAGG